GGAGAUAAGCGGACUCGAACCGCUGACAUCCGCC
rnacentral:tRNA from 9 species